rnacentral:rRNA from 1 species
AUUGAACGCUGGCGGCAGGCCUAACACAUGCAAGUCGAACGAGUGGCGGACGGGUGAGUAAUGUAUGGGAAACUGCCUGAUGCAGGGGGAUAACUCCUGGAACCGGUAGCUAAUACCGCAUACCAUCGGAUGUGCCAAGGUGGGAUUAGCUAGUAGGUGGGGUAAAGGCUCACCUGGGCGACGAUCCCUAGCUGGUCUGAGAGGAUGACCAGCCACAUUGGAACUGAGACACGGUCCAGACUCCUACGGGAGGCAGCAGUGGGGAAUAUUGCACAAGGGGCGCAAGCCUGAUGCAGCCAUGCCGCGUGUAUGAAGAAGGCCUUCGGGUUGUAAAGUACUUUCGGCGGGGAGGCGUUACCCUCAGAAGAAGCACCGGCUAACUCCGUGCCAGCAGCCGCGGUAAUUC